GGUCGACGAUUAACGCGAAGAACCUUACCAGGGUUUGACAUGCAAGUGGUAGGAAACCGAAAGGUGACCGACCCUUCGGGGAGCUUGCACAGGUGCUGCAUGGCUGUCGUCAGCUCGUGUCGUGAGAUGUUCGGUUAAGCCCGCUAACGAGCGCAUCCCUCGCUGUGUGUUAUAUGUGUCACACGGGACUGCCGGUCUUAAGCCGGAGGAAGGUGGGGAUGAUGUCAAGUCAGCAUGGCCUUUAUAUCCUGGGCUACACACACGCUACAAUGGCCAACACAGUAGGUUGCUAAGCCGCGAGGUGGCGCUAAUCCAUAAAGUUGGUCUCAGUUCAGAUUGUAGGCUGCAACCCGCCUGCAUGAAGAUGGAGUUGCUAGUAACCGCAGGUCAGCUAUACUACGGUGAAUACGUUCCCGGGUCUUGUACACACCG
rnacentral:rRNA from 1 species